rnacentral:rRNA from 1 species
UACAGAGGGGGCAAGCGUUAUUCGGAAUUAUUGGGCGUAAAGGGCGCGUAGGCGGCUUUGCAAGUGGCGGGUGAAAUCCCUCGGCUUAACCGAGGAACUGCCUGCCAGACUGUGAGGCUUGAAGACCGGGAGAGGUGGAGUGGAAUUCCCAGUGUAGCGGUGAAAUGCGUAGAUAUUGGGAGGAACACCAGUGGCGAAGGCGGCUCACUGGACCGGAACUGACGCUGAGGCGCGAAAAGCGUGGG